GCGCGCGUGUUGUUUGGACGUGUUCUGGUUUGGCUGGAGUGGCGUUGAAAGUAGAUACAGUCCAAGUGGACUGAGUUUUUUUUUUGGUUCUUUCCCUUGCAUGGGUAGUGUGUUCGAAGGAAGUUCAUGAGGCUCUCGGCUGCCUGCCGUUCUGGGCCGUUUCAAUCAAUCCCCUACCCCCGGAACGACGAUCAAUUGAAGCCGUGGUUUGUGAGCACCGCAGGUCGCAGUCCCCAGCACCAGCAAGUGGCAUAUGUAGUCUCGACCGUAUGGUAUGAUGAUUUUUACCGGUAGGAAACGUUAUGUGCUACGGAAAGGGAAAACAGAAGUGGCCGCGAGGGGGUUUUACUGCAAAGAUAAAACUCAACCGAAAGCAGCCGUUUGCUUACUCAGUGUGUGCACCGGGGGUUACAUGUUGUAAAUUAAGCACGGUUAACAGAUUAUAGUGCUAUGCUGUCUACAUAGGUGAAAAGGAUUUUACGGUUGAAAAAAGGUGAUUUUCGUGUAGUUUUGUUUUUACUCGGAAUAGUGAUAUUUCAUAUGAGAUAUACAGAUAGCCGGUAAUUACAAACUCCGCCGGUCGUGAGUGUGCGUGUGUAUUUUGAGCUUCGGAAUAAAUUCGUUAAUGACGACAAACAAGUGUCAUAAAAAGUUGGAAUCCAAUUAAUGUCUGUACGUAAUCAACAUCAGCGAAGGGAAGCAAACGGGUGAAAGUGUGUAAUUACUGCAAAAAUGCAAAAAUUGAGUGAAUGUUGUUAGGCGCCGCGAUCAGUUCGAGAUACCUGGCUCUUUUUUGUGUGCACAGCACUGUUUGCCAUAAAUUAUCGUAAAGUGCAUCAAUAAGCCCGCUCGAGUGGUACGGUUCCUGUGGCCCAGGCGAUUUUGUCUAGUGAAUGUAACAUUUACAACUUGGGAACAUCACAUCAAUAGGCUGUGACGUUUUACACUCAAAGGAAAAUUUUGUAGAUCGCUAACGAUGGAACUGCUAGUAUCGCAGAAGCAUAGCAAUGGUUCCUCGCCCCAUCUGGUUAGCUCCCGUCGGCUCAGCAGUGGAAUCGUCAACCCCGCGGCCACCUUGGAUCUCGAUGACAGCAGUAGUAUUAUCAGCGAUAUCUCGAAAAUCCCUCGUGUACCCGGCGACGGGGCCCAGGCAGAGGAUGUGGAUGCGCACGUAUGCUCUGUGAGCACGGUGGAAAACCGUGGAAAACUUGAACGGCUACCAGAGUUGCCCUUGCAGCAGCAGCAGCAGCAGCAGCACCAGAAUCUGCCCCAGCUGAGCAACGGAGAUUUGCGGCUUGCUUCGUCUGGCUGCGGCGAACUUGACUUCAAUGGGAAAGGCGACAGACAGAAGCCAAAUGGUUUGCCCACACCUCCAGCGACAUUUGAGGAUACUGGCAACGGUAAAUGUGAAUUCAGCUGUGGAGGAGGAGGAGGAACAUUGUCUCCGCCGCCUGGUGGGGGAGGAGGAGACGACAGAGGCGAAGGAGGAGGAGGAGGAGGAGAUAUGAGCGAAAAUGCGAACAAUGCCUCGCAACCUCCCCUUAGCAGUAACACCUAUUCGGCUUUCAAGCGGGGCAAUGUGAUUAAGGGUAUCCUGUGCCCCUCGAUGACCAAUUCUUUUAGAGCACCGUCCCUGGAACGUUCCUACCUGACAUAUUCCCAUCGACAACGGCAGAAAUCUCUCAUCCUGGUGAACGUGGUGGAUUUAGUACUCAAGAUUGUGCUGGCUUCUGUUUGGAUUGGAUUCAACCAUCCCACGAUUGUUAAAGCUCACGAGAUUACCUGGUCGGUUUGUUGUGUAAUUUCCAAUUUUUUGAUCUGCGUCCUUGGGAGUUGGCGGCUCUUCGCCAACAAUUAUUUACACUGGGCUGCAGUGUGCACUUGGCUACUACUAAAUUUACAGGGCUUCAUCGGCGAAGGGAUGGGAUUUGCCGAACGAGAUUAUUUGAUUUGGUACGUCCUGUUCAUCAUCUUCGUGCCAUACGCGAUGCUACCGUUACCGCUGAAGUGGUGCAUGAUCGCCGGCUCGGUUUCCGCUAUCUGCCAUCUGAUUGUGACUACGAUCAACAAAUUUUUACAUGAAAAGGACACGGCGUGCAUCGUCCGGCAGAUGAUCGCCAACUCGUUGCUCUAUCUGGCAAUAAACUUCGCCGGGAUGUACACCAAGUACUUAACAGACCGUGGCCAACGGUUGGCUUUCAUCGAGACCCACAAAGCGAUGGAGCACAAGCGCGAAUCGGAGAAGGAGUACCAGCGAACCCAGCGGCUGCUCGAUUCUAUUCUUCCGAUGUUCGUGAACAAUGACAUCCGCAAGGAAAUGUACAAAUCGCCGGAACAGCAGGCCCAGGUCGACACGCAGUUCAAGAAGCUGUACAUCUACCACAUGGACAACGUUAGCAUUCUGUUUGCGGACAUCAAAGGUUUCACCGAGCUGGCGAGCAAGACGUCAGCUCAGCAGUUAGUGAAGAUAUUGAAUGACCUGUUUGCGCGGUUCGAUAAGAUCGCAGAGGAUAAUCAUUGUCUGCGGAUCAAGCUGCUGGGGGACUGUUACUACUGUGUGUCGAUGUUUGACAGCCAAAGCUGGAAGAGUAGACCGGAUCACGCGGUUUGCAGCGUUGAAACCGGGCUGCACAUGAUCAAGGCAAUCAAGGAUGUUAGAAUGCAGACGAAUGUGGUGGAUUUAGACAUGCGAAUUGGCAUACACAGUGGUUCAGUGAUGUGUGGUGUGCUGGGGGAAAAGAAGUGGCAUUUUGAUGUGUGGUCAAACGACGUGAUCAUAGCAAAUCACAUGGAGUCGGGCGGAGUUCCUGGUAGAGUACACAUAUCGGAGGCUACAUUAAAUUGCUUGAAUGAUACCUACGAGGUGGAACCUGGCAAUGGAGCUACUCGGGACAGCCACCUGAAGAUGAUGAACAUUAAAACAUAUCUGAUUAAGCGAACCGAACCAUUAAGACCACGCAAAAGACUGAUGAAUCGAAUGAGUACGCUGCAGUUCGAGAAAGAAGCAAUCAGUAGAUUGAACGAUUUGAAAAAUAGAAAGGAUUCAAAAACACCUAGCGUAGCGUCUAGUGGAGCCAACAACAAUCAUAUCACGAAGCGCAGCUCGAAAUCGACGAUACACGAGGAUGAACCGACGACCGAUUGGAUUCCGGAGAUUCCCUUUAAAAAUUUGAACCAAGCUGGUGUGAAUACGGUGGAAAGUUUUAGAGAUAAGCAAAAGUACGAUCCCGAGGAUAGUAUUCCAUCGACGGAGGAGGUCGACGAAAUCAUCGAUCAAAAUAUCCAGAUUAACUCGAAUAAGCAGAUGCGAAUGGAGUAUUUGUUUACGUGGACCUUGAAAUUCAAGGAUUCUUCCCAGGAGGGAACAUUUUGUCAGCUUCGAGAAGAUAUGUUCCGUUCAAACAUGCUGUGCGUGUUUGUUGUUUGGAUUUUCAUUGUUCUCUGUCAGGCUGUCAUCAUUCCGAAGUGUACGACUUUGAUAGUGUCGCUCUCCAUAACGACUUUUCUAUUGACGAUUGGCUGUGUACUCGUAAUGGCUGAGGAAUUUUCCGCAUUGCCCACAUUUCUGCAAAGGAGUUCAUCUACUCUGGUGCACGAUCGAAAACGGCGAACCGUCUUUGUCUGUGUCACCAUUAUUCUGAUGUCAGCAGCAAGCUCUAUGGGUUUGAUCAUGUGUGAUAUGAAUGAGGGUUCUCCAUCAACCCGCAAUGAGGGCAAGGAAGCAUCUGCGGCACUUCUGCAAGUUGCUGGAUCCAAACAAGAACUUCAACUAAACUUAACUGUUACGGCUACCAUAAACCAAAACUUGAUUUUAAACUCCCAAAAGGUCGUUAAUUUCGAUCUCGAAACGCUACUGAAUGAGGACAAUAAAACUUGGAAGGAUGUUAGUGAACAGGACAUCAGAUUGUAUGGAAUCAGUCCUCUCUAUGUUGAGCUACCGCAGAGCAUCAAACUAUCCGUGCUGAAUGUAUCUAGUGAGCAACCUUUUUUGGAGAAAGCUUUAUCAUCGAAAAAGUUUCCCAGCAACCUCGAUUCACUGCAGCAGCACUCGGUUUGCGUUCAUCCAGAAUACGUCGUAUUUACGUGGGUGCUUUGUCUGAUCUCACUUGCAACAGCUUUGAAGUUAUAUUAUCUCGUAAAAACCUUCAUGGCUAUCACUAUGGUCGCUUGUUAUUCAAUCCUAAUCUUGCUAGUUUUCAACGAGGUUUUCGAAACUUUUGACACGCAGUUUAUGCAGGCUAGCGGAAUGCCGCUGGCCGCUCAGAUGAUGAUUCUGCUGGUGGUGUUUCUGACGAUGGUAACCUAUCACGCACGACUGGUGGAAGUCACAUCCCGGUUGGACUUCAUCUGGAAGGAGCAAGCCGAGAAGGAACUUUCCAACAUGAAGUCCAAUCGGCACUUGAAUGAUCUGCUGAUUAAAAACAUUCUUCCGGAUCACGUCGCGUCGUACUAUCUGUCAGAGGAACGGACCGACGAGCUUUACGCUCAGAUGCACGAGCUGUGCGGGGUUAUGUUUGCGUCGAUUCCUAACUUCAAGGACUUCUACUCGGAGGACAUCGAAAACGGAAAGGCCUGUAUCAGGAUUUUGAAUGAGAUUAUAUCGGAUUUUGACUCUCUACUCGAGGAACCACGUUUCGCAACGGUGGAGAAGGUCAAAACUGUCGGCGCCACGUAUAUGGCGGCUUCCAACCUAUGCUCUGGAAAUAAAACAAAGGUUGACGAAAAAGACGAAGAAGCAGUUUGUGAUUUAGUAGAGUUUGCGCUGGCUAUGCGCCAGAAGCUUCAGGAGGUGAACAAGGAUGCGUUCAACACUUUUCAGUUGAGAGUUGGAAUCAGCAGUGGACCAUUGGUAAGUGGGGUCAUAGGGGCACGAAAACCGGUCUACGACAUUUGGGGAAACACCGUCAACGUGGCGUCCAGGAUGGAUUCUACCGGCGAGAACUGGAAAGUGCAGGUUCCAGACUAUACUGCUGCGUUGCUCCAGAGCAAAGGCUACACGUGUGUGAAACGUGGGGAAGUUAAUGUAAAAGGAAAAGGAUUGAUGCUGACAUACUGGGUACUAGGCAUGAACGUUUCCGCCAGUCAGAUAACUUCACCUGCAUUGAUACCCGCGGGAGUACCACAAGCCCAAACCCCAUCCUUACAGCGUCAAACAUCGCAGCACAGUUCACUUGCGGCUGUCGUGUUUGGCAUGAUGCAGGCCUCCAAGAGGAGCAACCUGAACUCAACCCAAAAGUGCGGCUGGAGUCGUGCAAAAAAUCUGACCGUCAAUAAAAUGCGUCUACUGGCACCCAACCGCAACGCCCUCACCGAGGUCCCGGUUCGGGCGACGGGGAAGCACAUUCAGCUCGGUGAGGUUGAGUCAGAAAGUGCAGUCUAACAACCCGGUCCGGCGGAACACUACUAGAGUGCGGGCUAGAAGUUACACCAUGAAGAAGCCGACCAUUUGCCACUCGCCAACGGUGCAGUCUCCGGACUGCGACGCAGACAACAAUGUGAUACCAUCCUUCCGGCAGCUGCAUCAGAACGUUAAAGAGGAACAGACUGUACUGUAACCUAGUUUGAGUGAAACGUGGAUUUUCUUUUUCUACCAAAUAUAUACAAACUUGGGUAGUGAAAUUAGUGAAUAGUAGAAGCCAAAAAAAUCUCUUCUAGUCAUUAGAGUCAAGCACCAAGUGAGAAGCUUCUUGCACAUUUAUCAAUGCACGAACCAUUACAGAGAGAAACGAAUAAUCUUGAUAGGAUGAGAUUGAAAAUCAAAUUACAUAUAAUGUUUAGGGCAAUAUAGAUAAACCUUCCAAAGCAUAGCGAACCAAUAGAGCUAGGAGUAGGAUACUUCGUCAUAUAUUCAUUCAAUUACCACUGUAACUGCACAAAAUCUCAAAGUUGGAAAGGUUUUCAUCGAAAUUCGCACAACAGACUAGAGACAAAAAAUUAUUUUAACGUUUUUAAGCUGAUUCUCAGCAAUACAUACGCCGGAAUCCUUUGCCAAAUGACUGACAUAGUUUCCACCGUGCAGCGUAUUGACAACUAAAACUACUGACAAGACACCUAAAUGUGAUUCUCUACGUAUUGUUACCUUUUAGUUGACAGAUCAAAGAAAAAAUCUUGCUGUACCUCUACUCUAUGUAUAGGAGGAGUGUAACUAUGUAAUAGCUGUUAUACCAUAAUAAAAAUAGAUAACUUAACGUCA